ACAAUCAUCAGCUUACACAUGCAGUCGAGCGGUAGCACAGGGGAGCUUGCUCCCUGGGUGACGAGCGGCGGACGGGUGAGUAAUGUCUGGGAAACUGCCUGAUGGAGGGGGAUAACUACUGGAAACGGUAGCUAAUACCGCAUAACGUCGCAAGACCAAAGAGGGGGACCUUCGGGCCUCUUGCCAUCAGAUGUGCCCAGAUGGGAUUAGCUAGUAGGUGGGGUAAUGGCUCACCUAGGCGACGAUCCCUAGCUGGUCUGAGAGGAUGACCAGCCACACUGGAACUGAGACACGGUCCAGACUCCUACGGGAGGCAGCAGUGGGGAAUAUUGCACAAUGGGCGCAAGCCUGAUGCAGCCAUGCCGCGUGUGUGAAGAAGGCCUUCGGGUUGUAAAGCACUUUCAGCGAGGAGGAAGGUGGUGAGCUUAAUACGCUCAUCAAUUGACGUUACUCGCAGAAGAAGCACCGGCUAACUCCGUGCCAGCAGCCGCGGUAAUACGGAGGGUGCAAGCGUUAAUCGGAAUUACUGGGCGUAAAGCGCACGCAGGCGGUUUGUUAAGUCAGAUGUGAAAUCCCCGGGCUCAACCUGGGAACUGCAUUUGAAACUGGCAAGCUAGAGUCUCGUAGAGGGGGGUAGAAUUCCAGGUGUAGCGGUGAAAUGCGUAGAGAUCUGGAGGAAUACCCGGUGGCGAAGGCGGCCCCCUGGACGAAGACUGACGCUCAGGUGCGAAAGCGUGGGGGAGCAAACAGGAUUAGAUACCUGGUAGUCACGCUGUAAACGAUGUCGAUUUGGAGGUUGUGCCCUUGAGGCGUGGCUUCCGGAGCUAACGCGUUAAAUCGACCGCCUGGGGAGUACGGCCGCAAGGUUAAAACUCAAAUGAAUUGACGGGGGCCCGCACAAGCGGUGGAGCAUGUGGUUUAAUUCGAUGCAACGCGAAGAACCUUACCUACUCUUGACAUCCAGAGAACUUAGCAGAGAUGCUUUGGUGCCUUCGGGAACUCUGAGACAGGUGCUGCAUGGCUGUCGUCAGCUCGUGUUGUGAAAUGUUGGGUUAAGUCCCGCAACGAGCGCAACCCUUAUCCUUUGUUGCCAGCGGUUCGGCCGGGAACUCAAAGGAGACUGCCAGUGAUAAACUGGAGGAAGGUGGGGAUGACGUCAAGUCAUCAUGGCCCUUACGAGUAGGGCUACACACGUGCUACAAUGGCAUAUACAAAGAGAAGCGACCUCGCGAGAGCAAGCGGACCUCAUAAAGUAUGUCGUAGUCCGGAUUGGAGUCUGCAACUCGACUCCAUGAAGUCGGAAUCGCUAGUAAUCGUAGAUCAGAAUGCUACGGUGAAUACGUUCCCGGGCCUUGUACACACCGCCCGUCACACCAUGGGAGUGGGUUGCAAAAGAAGUAGGUAGCUUAACCUUCGGGAGGGCGCUACCAGCCGAACC
rnacentral:rRNA from 1 species